GGGAGGGGGCAUUUCCUGCAGCUGACAGGCAAAAGUGUUCCUCAGAGGGGAUUUGCCUAACUUGGGUGUUUCAAGGGACUGCCCAUGUUCACUGUGCAGGACUGUGGGCUGCAAAAAGACCAUUCUAAAGGAUUCAGGCAAAAAAGAGACCAACGGUCAAGUAUAUUUUCCUUUGUAAUUCCCUUUGGCCUCUGCUCUUCCUGAAUUUAAUGCUGUUAUCUUGGAAGAGGAUUUUUCCUGCUCAGUUGCCAUAACAAACAAGGGAUCCACUUGCAAUCUGCCUUGGGUUAUUGUAGAUGUUAAGCUCAUUUGGAUCUCUAUUGCUGAUGACUUGCUUUGAACAAGGAUAUGUUCAUGAGAGUCCCCAUUAGCGUGGAGACAUCAGAAUACAUGGCAACAGUAGAAAAUGAGGAGCAUUCCCUGGUCCAGCUACUGCUGAUGUAUCAGGCCCUGAAGAAGCUGAAUAUUCUGCAUGUGAUGCGUGGAGAUGAGCUUGCUGACUACCACUCCCCAAAAAGUACAGGAUAGCGGGACAGGCCAGACAGUCACCCUUUGAAGACAUGAGGAGAAAGGAGAUGUCACAGGCUGCACCCCUUUGUUAUCCUAGACCAGUGGCGCUCAACCUUUCCAGACUACUGUACCUCUUUCAGGAGUCUGAUUUGUCUUGCGUACCCCAAGUUUCACCUCACUUAAAAACUCCUUGCUUACAAAAUCAGACAUAAAAAUACAAAAGUGUCACAGCACACUAUUACUGAAAUAUUGCUUACUUUCUCAGUUUUACCAUAUAAUUAUAAAAUACAUCGAUUGGAAUAUAAAUAUUGUGCUUACAUUUCAGUGUAUAGUAUAUAGAGCAGUAUAAACAAGUCCUUGUAUGAAAUUUUAGUUUCUACUGGCUUUUCUAGUGGUUUUUUUAUGUAGCCCGUUGUAAAACUAGUCAAAUAUCUAGAUGAGCUGAUGUACCCCCUGGAAGAUCUCUGUGUACCCCCAGGGGUAUGUGUACACCUGUUUGAGAACCACUGUCC
ensembl:lncRNA